AUUUGGCUCUUUAUUUCUAAUAACAAAAAUUUAAAAUUUCUUGUUGCUACUGCAGGCUUUUGGUCUUUGUAUGCCAACUGCUUAUUGUUGCUUUAUUACAUGGAUGCCCCUAGUGGGGUUACUUCUAAUAAAAUAGCGUUCAUGUGGAAGAAGAAAGGUAUGAGGAGGCUGAAGAGAAAGCGCCGAAAGAUGAGGCAGAGAUCCAAGUAGAGAGUCUUGACUGACAAAUGGUGGGUCAGGUAUCUCUCCGACUGGACCCUCAUCAUCCUGCCAAUGUGUGGUCAGGUAGGAAUUUUUGCUUAUCCCCACUUACUUAUCAUUGGGUUUUGAGUAUACUCGAGGAGAUCUGCCUAGAAACCAUAUGGUUUGUUUUUAGUUUCAUGUUUUGCAGUUUUAGAUUCAGACUUUAUACUGGUGUAGCUGGUCGAUCAGUUGUUGUUUGGACCCCUUAAAGAGAUUCUUGGAGUUAAUAUCACCUCUUGUGGGGUGAUUUGUAAAAAGAA